GACAGAGGAGCCAAGCGUUGUCCGGAUUGACUGGGCGUAAAGCGCACGCAGGCGGAUGCGCGCGUGGGGUGUGAAAUCUGGCCGCUUAACGGCCAGGCGCCAUCCCAUACGGCGCGUCUGGAGUGAUGCAGAGGUCGAUGGAAUUGCCGGUGUAGUGGUGAAAUGCGUAGAUAUCGGGAGGAACACCAGUGGCGAAGGCGGCUGCCUGGGCCAGUUCUGACGCUGAGGCGCGAAAGCGUGGGGAGCAAACAGG
rnacentral:rRNA from 1 species